GCGGGUGUGACCGAGGGGCUAGGUAGCGGUCUGCAAAGCCGUACACGCGGGUUCGACUCCCGCCGCUCGCUCCA
rnacentral:tRNA from 1 species